rfam:Oryza glaberrima chromosome 2 Oglab02_0042_1, whole genome shotgun sequence.
AAAAAUUAUGGUUUUACACUGUUUAUAUUCAACAUUUGACCGUCUGUCUUAUUUGAAAUUUUUUUAUGAUUAGUAUUUUUAUUGUUAUUAGAUGAUAAAACAUGAAUAGUAUUUUAUAUAUGACUAAUAUUUUUUUAUUUUUUCAUAAAUUUUUAAAUAAGACAGACAAUCAAAAUUGGACACGUAAACUCACAACUGCACUUAUA